UCGCGGAGCCACCCUCAGCACUAUGGCUGAGGCUGUUUCGGUAGCCCCUUCGCCGAAAGAAAAGCUGGAGGGGCCGCAUCCUGACGAAUCUUGCGGGUCCUGAGCCCAGAAGGAGGUGUUGCUCAGAAUUAGGUCUUGGAUAGUGCACAGAAAAAGGAAGGAGACAAUAAAAUCCUCAAAAGGUGGGAAUAACAGGUUUGCUGAAGGAAAGACCAUGGGAAGAGACCUGAGGAGUGCAAGCAAGAGAAAGGAACUGUUCGAUGAAAAGGUUAAAAUGACAUCAAUGGAGUGGGAAGAAAUAUGGGGCAGCACCUGUCUGCCCUAACAACACAGCAACGACGCUGUGUAGGAUGCUGGUUUCGGUCAGGAUGAAACUAUGUCCUGGAAGGGAGGAGCCCCAGAGCUGUUGCAAACAGCUGAGCCAAGAUAAAAGCUGUUCACACCAAGGCAGGUUCACAAGGAAGUA